UAGUACUAUGUAAUAUUAUUAUUUGAGAGAGGAACACUAGUAAUAUGAUUUGGUGCAUGGUACCGGCCGAGAUAAUGCCAAGACAAAGAGAAGGGACAUAAUCAAAAUCGGCAACAAGAGAAGCACCGUAGGCGGCGGCGGUAGCAGCGGGAAGAACGGCGGCAAAACCAUGAGAAUAAACCCUACAAGAAGCAUUAACACCAUUGAUCUCAUGCCAAAGAACUCGUACAUACGAUCAAGCUCUUGUAUAUCUGUAUAACCUAAAAAGGUAGUACGUAACAGGCUGACAGAGAAAUAAUGGUGGUGGGUGGGUGGGCUUUUUCUUUUAAAUGUUGGAUUCUGAGCAGAGAGUGACCUUGGACACAUUAGGCUUCAAGGGCACUGUAGUGUAUAUAUUAGUGGACAGAGGUAUAGUGUAAAGCAAAAAAUGACCCAGGUGAUGAUGACAGAUG
rnacentral:lncRNA from 1 species